CAGCGCAACCCUGACUCUGCAGCUAGGAGAGGAGCCCCAGCCCCAGGGUUUCCAGGUGUUCCAAUCAGCAAUCAGGACAGAACACAGAGAGCUCACCAUGGAGUCUGUGCUCAGCUGGGUUUUCCUUGUUGCUCUUUUAAAAGGUGUCCAGUGUGAGGUGCAGCUGGUGGAGUCUGGGGGAGACCUGGUGAAGCCUGGGGGGUCCCUGA